CCUCCACCUCCCCUCGGUCGCGUCUUCCCCCCUUCCUCCCCGCAUUCACGAAUCACACGUUCCCCCCAAACCCUAACCGUGCCGCCUCGCCUCAGAUACCCAACGCCCGCGCCCCCUUCUCCACCUCGCCUCCACCGGAUCCGGAAUCCGGCCCUCUCCACUACGCCGCUGUCAGGUCGUCAAUGAUCCCUUCAUUGCAGCACCAUCAGGUCGUCGGCGCCGCCGCCCCUUCACUCUUCUCCCACCGUUUGUCGGCGAUGAUCACACCUUCGGCGCAACUGGAUCCCUCUCCACAGCGCGUCGAUGGCUUUUUUUUUUUCUCCCUUUCUGCAAGGCGGAGAAGGUGAAAGGGUGCACAGCUACAGCUGUAGCUGCAAGAAAUCCAAGCGCCUCAAUCUGAAAGUUGAAUAGAGGAUUUUGAGUGAUCGACAGUUAAGUGCCAUUGUCCUGUUGAAACAACGAUUUGGGAUUACUGAAGAUGACUUCCUCCUUGCUUGCGUGCUUGGUUCGCGUAUAGAAUGGUUACUCUCAAGUCUAUGUGUGUGGUACUACUUGAUGAUAUGAUGGAUGGUUUCCAUGCUAGGAGAUACCAGAUUGCUGGUCACUUGAGGUUUUCCGAUCCAUCUUCCAUGAUUCUCUCACUAAACAGAUGGUAUUUCAGAUGAAGCCUUAUUUUCUUGACUACUUGACUUCUUGGAACUAUGGAGUGAGGUCUACAAAAUUCUCAAGGGCAGAUGCUUGUCACACAUACUGGAGCAGAUGGUCUUGCAAAAUGCAGUAUAUUGAAGGGCAUGUGAACCAUCUACCUCUUUCUCUCAUAAUAUUAGAUUUGCUUAUGUUAAUAUUGGAGAUGUCGCUCUAUUCAGUACAUUUCUUCUCUUUUGUUUUGUUCUCAUAGGCCUGGAAGACUGAAACUCAAAUGCAAUCAUACUUUUUCACUUCUGUCAUGUAUCUGAGUAUUAUAGGCUGUGGUACUAUACAAAUUCUACAAGCUAACAAUAUUGUCUGUCUUUCUCUUAUAUACAUACUAUUCUCUGUUGCCCCUUCUCUUACAUCGAGCAUUGCAUUAUGUCUUUUAAGAAAGUCUGGAUAUAUAUAUAUAUAUAUGUGUGUGUGCGGGCGGGCGCGCGUGCGUGUGCGCCUUGCUUUUGCUUCAGGAACUAGGUAAAUCAGUUUACUUUACAAGAAACCAUCAGCUUUGGUUGUAACUUUAUCAGAUUUUGAUGCUUACCUAUUGACUAAUCAAGUAAAAUGGUUCUUUUAGAGUACCUCCUAGAUUGUGCGCAACCAUGUGGAGUCGUAGGUAAUGGCUGCAGCUCAUCCAGUGCCCGACAGCAUAGGUCCUGGCUUUUUUAUUACUCGUGCAGAUAAAAAUUAUUCUCAAAUAUACCAGUUGCAGAGGACCUCAAACUUGGUUUUAAUGGUGUUCAAUGGUGUCUAGGCAAAAUUGCUACCAGAUAGCUAAACCUACGUGUAGAGCCAAGUAUAAGCAUGUGGACAAGAAUAUGAGUUGGAUAAGAAUGAGUGGUUGGUUACCCAGAUCCAAAAGUUAAGCUUUUGCCAUGGCAUGGCGCCUUGGUAUUUAAUAAUAAGUUGAAUGUCCUUUUUUUUUUUUUUUGCUCUGCUACUAUUACUAUCUACAUCAUCUGUCUCAAAAUAAUUGUAAUUCUAGGUUGUUUAGCAUAUACUCAUUAAGGUUUGAGAAAAAGACUAUGGUGCCCCUCAUUAAAUGGUGUAUAGAUGAAAGUGAGAGGGUGGUUAAGGGUAAAAUAGAGAAAUUUAAAUGAAAUGAUUGAUGGGGCAAUUAGUAGAACUCUAGAGUUACAACUGUUUUGGGAUAAAUUUUGAAUCCUAGAAAUUUGUAUAGUUCAAUGGAUCUAUUUUUCGGAACUGUAGGUUAACACCUCUCAGCAGGUACAAGAGGGAUAAGUUUAUUUCCUCCAUGUUAAUUUGACUUGACAUGCACUGCCAUCAGUAAAUGUAUAACAAAACUUUUGUUGUUUAUUGAA